AUGUUCUUCCCGGCCGCCUCUUGGUUUAGUUCACAUGUCUUGAAUUACUUUGAUUCUUUUGGUAACAUCAAACUGGGUUGCAUAGAAGUAACUGCUACUGGGUUUGACCUUUGUGAGGAAUCUACAGCAGCACUUCGAAACUCCCAGGCUGUUUUCAUCAGCAAGCUUACAGCUGACCACAUGAUGGAACUCGAUAAUACUACACUGUACGAUGUACUUGAGAUUCCAAUGAAUACCCGUCGAAGCGAUGUGGUCAUCAGCAUGAAAGCAAUACAGGGCCGCCUUUAUAUCUUAGGUCACUCCAUAGCAGGGAGCAAGAGUGGGCACAUCUGA
rnacentral:rRNA from 1 species